CACGGUCGAUGGAUUUUGACCGUGGGAUAGUAUUCAUAAUUCAGAUUGGUAUUUAUAUGUAUGUGGGUAUCAGGUAUUGCGGGUCCAUGGCUUCCAAUAGAUACAAGCAUCUAUUGUUAAUUACCCCCUGUAGAUUGGGGUACCUUCGAUUAAGAGACCUUUAUAGAUGGAAUUGAAUGAAUCGUAUCUUGGUUUAUUGAAUCCUAAGUAUAUGUAUUAGGAUUCAGUUGAAUUUGAAAUUGACUAGGUCCUAAGUAUAUGUGUUAAGACGUAGUCGAUAUUAAACUCUAUGUAUUAAAGUCUAAUUGGCUCUUAGUAUAUGUCUUAGAGUGACUAAACCCCAAGUAUAUGUAUUGAGGUAGGUCGGAUUUGAUAUUACCCGAAAGUAGAGAGUGGCUAAUUUCUGUGUGUAUGUAUCAGAAUUAACCGAGUUUAAUAUAUUUUUCACUCUAGUUAUAUAUGCUGGAUUGAAGAUCUGACUAAGCCCUGAGAUAUUAUGUUAGGCUUCGUCGGAUUUGAUUUGCAUAAGCUCUAAGUAUAUGUAUUAGAGCUCGAUCGCGUAUGGAUUUCACUCUAGGUAGAUGUGUUAGAGCAAAAGGCUGACUAGGCCCUAAGUGUACGUGUUAGGACGAGUCGAGCUUGGUUUGACCUCCACUCUAGGUAUAUGUAUUAGAGCAAAAGGUUGACUAGACCCUAAGGAUAUGUGUUAGGGUUAGUCGGAUGAACUCUAAGUAUAUGUGUUAGAGUUCGAAUGAACUUGAUAUCAUUUGAUCGAAUUCUAAGUAUAUAAUUUAGAACUCCGUCGAUUUGGAAAUGUUUUGCCUUAGUAUAUGUGCUAAGGCGGGUGGGGUUGUCUUAACCCUAAGUACAUGUAUUAGGGGUAAUCGAUAUUUAAUUUUUACUCUAGGUAUAUAUGCUAGAGUAAAGAGGUUUAUGAUGAACUUGGUAUGGUUUGAUUUAUGGGGUUUGAUUUGUGGUUAAUGAGAUUUGGUUCAUAAACUUUGGUAUGGUUCAUGGGAUUUGGAUAUGGUUCAUGAACUUGAUUCAUGGUUUAUGGGACUUGGGUAUUGUAACAUACCGAA
rnacentral:lncRNA from 1 species